rnacentral:rRNA from 1 species
GAGUUUGAUCAUGGCUCAGGACGAACGCUGGCGGCGUGCUUAACACAUGCAAGUCGAACGAUGACGCGCAGCUUGCUGCGCUGAUUAGUGGCGAACGGGUGAGUAACACGUGAGUAACCUGCCCUUCACUCUGGGAUAACCUUCGGAAACGGGGGCUAAUACUGGAUAUGACUCAUCACCGCAUGGUGUGUGGGUGGAAAGUUUUGUGGUGAAGGAUGGACUCGCGGCCUAUCAGCUUGUUGGUGAGGUAGUGGCUCACCAAGGCGACGACGGGUAGCCGGCCUGAGAGGGUGAUCGGCCACACUGGGACUGAGACACGGCCCAGACUCCUGCGGGAGGCAGCAGUGGGGAAUAUUGCACAAUGGGCGAAAGCCUGAUGCAGCGACGCCGCGUGAGGGAUGAAGGCCUUCGGGUUGUAACCGUACUUUCUAUCAGGAAGAAGGACGUGAGUGACGAGUACCUGAAGAAGAAGACGACCGGCGUAA